CAUUUCCCCUGCCCAGCUGCAUUUCCUGUUUCUCUGGAGUGUGCCACAGAAAAACCAUCCUGCAGGAUAAAUGUAUAAGAGAGUAGUGUAAUUACCUGUGAAGUACUGGUAUUACCUGUUGGUGCAGCUGCUGGGAUGGGUUACUGGAACCUGCUAACCAAGUUCUCUAUACGAACUCUAAGAACCUAUAGACGUAACUGACCAGGAGGCUCCUAAGUGAUGUUUCUGACAGGCUAUGAAAGGUACUAGCUGGUAAAGCAGAAAGUAGUCAUUGAUUACUGUAAUAGAGGGAAUCCACAAUUUGCAGCAAAUUCGAAAGAAUGUUGAGAAAGUGACUUGAGGAUCAGUAGCCGCCCCAUCCUGCACGCUGUACCAGGUUUGAUUUCAAUGAAAUUUACACGUGUCAAGGAAGGCAGUAACGGCAAGGUUAAUAAAACUUAGGAAAUAUAUGCCUCGGUUGUAGCAUUAUUGCUAUUUAAAAUAUUGCACCCACAGUGAAAAUUCAAUAUAACUACAAUGGUACCUCAAGAUACGAACAGCUAAAAACUUGAACAAUUAUGUAAGUGCUUUAGUAAGUGUUUUUUGGGGGUCUGAAAUGGAUUAAUUUAAUUUACAUUAUACCUUAUGGGAACAGAUUUUUUGGUAUUGGCACUCGAACAGCCUUCUGGAACAAAUUAAGUUCAUAUCCCAAGGUACCACUGUAUUUAUGAUUUUCUUAGGGAGUAGGUUGGUAGACAGCAACCACCCAGGGAGGUACUACCAUCCUGUGGUAGUAGGUUGGUAGACAACAACCA